rnacentral:tRNA from 1 species
CGGAGAGUAGUAUAGUGGUAGUACAUACGUUUCGGGUGCGUAAGGCCCGAGUUCGAUUCUCGGCUCUCCGA